UACACACCUCGGCUCAAGGUUGCCUUUCCCCAGCUGGGCGCUCCCCUAGCCCGGCCUUCCCUGUUGGCUGUUGUCCUGCAGAAGCCGUGGGCUCCCUGAGGACUGUCCUCUGAGCCCUGGAUGCUCCGUCAGGGACGCGGGACACAGUAGGGCUCAGCGGAUGGUUGUGAGUGAAAGGACAGGCGUGACACACACUGAGGAGCCCUCACACUCGACCAUAUGUGCAGGCGUGGGACUCGGGUCCCUUCUGGUGCUGACACCCUACGAUGACCCUGAGCCUGAGGAGGAACGGUCCUCCCCUCUCCCAAGGACAGAAACCCCAGCUGAAGCCUAGGAGGACCUGGAGAACUUUCCACAGGAUCCACACGACGGCUUCCGCUCCGUGGCCGGAGGGCAGGGCCUAUCAUUCCCAUUUGACAGUUCUGCGAGGUGAGGAUGAAGGACCCCAGGAUGCCCGCGGUGCAGAAGAGGAAGCUGGAGCUCAGAGAGGUGGCGGGCCUCCCCAGGACCACAGCAUAAACAGAAGUGAUAGAGCUGGGACCACAGCGGCUGACUCAAGCCUGCUCUGUCCGUUGCCCUCCACUGCCUCUGCCCCGAGCCAGGCCCUUCCUGGGGGCUCCGUGUGGGUGGGACAUAUCGGGGGUGAUAGAUCAAGCAGGAUGGAAAGGUUGUUCCUUGCUCCCCUAGCUGGCCCUGCCCCAGAGCUAAGUUGACCCCCCAAGUUGGGACUGGAGUGAGAGGGUGUCAGCUCCCAGUGGACAAGGACAGAUCUGGCUUCUCUCCUCUACUCACAACACGUGCUACGGCGCCUGUCCUGGAGCAUGGUUUGUGCUCAAUAAAUAGCUGCUGAGUGACUGGCUGGAGGAGGAUGGCCCUCGCCAUGGGGUGGGGGUCUAUGGUCAGUGUUCCAAGAUAGCUCUGACCCUCUGACCCCACAAAUAAUCCCAGGGUCCCUUGGGCACGUGCACAGCCACCCACACGCCUGCCCACGUCCCUCUCUGACCGGCUCGCUACCCUCCCUGGACACCAGCUGUCCCUCUAGGCUGGCACUUCAGCACAGUGGAAGGCAGGACAAACUUUUGUAAAGAACCAAUCCUUUGUGGACCAAUACUUUUGUAAAAUACAAUAAAAUGGAUUACUAAAAACUGA